GCGUGAUAAUUCGCCCUUUAAUUGUGGGCUUGUAUGAACGGACAAACGAGAGAAAAGCUGUCUCAUCUUAACAAAAAUAAAAAUUGACCUCCAGGUGAAGAGGCCUGGGUAUAAUAAAAAGACAAGAAGACCCCGCAGAGUUUAGAUUUUCAGUCUCUAUGCUUAUACUAAAAUUAAACAUAAGCAUUAUCCCACUAUAAUCUUGGCUGGGGCGGCCGAGGAGUAAAACCCUCCAUCUUAUAUUAAGGCAAUCCACCAAUUAAAUAUAUGACCCUUACAUGAUCAUAAGACAAAACUACCUCGGGGAUAACAGAUUAAUCUUUCUUGAGAGUCCAUAUUGACAGAAAGGC
rnacentral:rRNA from 1 species